GACAGGCACAGUGACCUGUGCUCAUAGUCCCAGCUGUUCAGGAGGCUGAGACAGAAGGAUUACUUGAGUCCAGGAGUUCUGGGCUAUAUUGUGCUAUCGGUGUCUGCACUAAGUUCGGCAUCAAUAUGGUGAUCUCCCGGGAGCUGGGAGGGUUUCCAGCCCAGGUCGGGAACAGAGCAGGUCAAAGCUCAAUGCUGAUCAGUAGUAGGAUCAUGCCUGUAAAUAUCCACUGCGCUCCAGCCUGGGCAACAUAGUGAGACCCCGUCUCUA
rnacentral:SRP_RNA from 1 species